AAAACGACUCUCGGCAACGGAUAUCUCGGCUCUCGCAUCGAUGAAGAACGCAGCGAAAUGCGAUACUUGGUGUGAAUUGCAGAAUCCCGCGAACCAUMGAGUYUUUGAACGCAAGUUGCGCCCAAARCCUUUUGGCCGAGGGCAMGUYUGCCUGGGUGUCACGCAACAU
rnacentral:rRNA from 1 species